rnacentral:tRNA from 1 species
GCCUCCUUAGCUCAGCUGGUAGAGCAACGGUCUUGUAAACCGUAGGUCGCGAGUUCGAGUCUCGCAGGGGGCUCCA